AAAAAGCUCGUAGUUGGAUUUCUGUCAGAAACUCUCGGUCCACGCUUUGCGUGAGUAUCUGAGUAGGUUCCGGCAUCCUCUAGAGGAUCGUUUCUGCGCUUGAUUGCGUGGAGCGGAACUCUAGACUUUUACUUUGAGGAAAUUAGAGUGUUCACGGCAGGCAAACGCCUUGAAUACAUUAGCAUGGAAUAAUAACAUAGGGCCUUGGUUCUAUUUUGUUGGUUUCUAGAGCUGAGGUAAUGAUUAAUAGGGAUAAUUGGGGGCAUUUGUAUUAACGCGUCAGAGGUGGAAUUCUUGGAUUGCGUUACGACAAACUACUGCGAAAGCAUUUGCCAAGGAUGUUUUCAUUGAUCAAGAACGAAAGUAUGGGGAUCGAAGAUGAUUAGAUACCGUCGUAGUCUAUACCAUAAACUAUGCCGACUAGAGAUUGGAGGUCGUCCUUAUAUUGACUCCUUCAGCACCUUAUGAGAAAUCAAAGUCUUUGGGUUCCGGGGGGAGUAUGGUCGCAAGGCUGAAACUUAAAGGAAUUGACGGAAAGGCACCACCACGAGUGGAGCCUGCGGCUUAGUUGGACUCAACACGGGAAAACUCACCAGGUCCAGACACAGUAAGGAUUGACAGAUUGAGAGCUCUUCC
rnacentral:rRNA from 1 species